rnacentral:rRNA from 1 species
UACGUAGGGUGCGAGCGUUAAUCGGAAUUACUGGGCGUAAAGCGUGCGCAGGCGGUUUUGUAAGCCAGAUGUGAAAUCCCCGGGCUCAACCUGGGAAUGGCAUUUGGGACUGCAAGGCUGGAGUUUGGCAGAGGAGACUGGAAUUCUGGUGUAGCAGUGAAAUGCGUAGAGAUGUGGAGGAACACCAGUGGCGAAGGCGACUCUUUGGUCUGUAACUGACGCUGAGGAGCGAAAGCGUGGGUAGCAAACGAG